ensembl:lncRNA
AAAAGAAAAGGAUUUGGAAAGAUCCGUAAAUAGGUUAUUAUUAAACCAUGAACAAUCAAAAUAUGGCUAUUUUUAUAAAGUAAAUCAAACGGAAGAAAAUACAUAUGACACUACAGAAUAUGGAAAACUGUUAGAAAACUUUUCAAAAGAAGCAAUAAAUUUUUAUUCUAUUUUAAAUAAAAGGAAUUUAGAUAAACAUGCAUAUCAUGAUAUACGAAAUUUUAAUUUUAAAAAAAAUACAAAUGAAAAUAUAAAAAAAAAUACAACAAUACAAAAUUGUAAUAAUAAAACGAAUAAAAAUAUUCGCGACUGUUAUGAGAAUGGAAAUGAUAGUAAGAUUGAUGAUGCCGUGGUAAAAAUCAAUGGUCUUUGUGAUGAAGAUAAACAGACAACGGAUACAAGUAAAAAUAGUGACAAUUUACGACGAAACAAGAAUCAUCAUAUUAAUGGCAGUGGUGGCAGUGGUAUAUUGUCGGGGGACCAGGACAAGGAAAAUGAUGAUCAUCGUAAUAAAUUGCAUAACAACGCAAAUGGUGCUUUAGCUUUUUUGAAUAUUGCAGAAAAGGGAUUAGGGUUGAAUAAUGAAAACAUUUAUUAUGAAGGUGGUGACGCAUAUAGAGAAGAGAAUAUACACAGAUGCCAACUGAAGCGGACAAAUCAGGACGUACCAACCAGUAAAAACAAUCAUGGUAACAAUCAUGGUAACAACCAUGGUAACAACCAUGGUAACAAGCGCAGUGAAAAUAUAAAGUUGCAUAGCAAAAACGAUAUAAACAAAAAUGCAGACAUAAACAUAACAGAAGAAAAAAUGUAUGUGAAAGAUAAAACAAACAUAAGCUGUAACUCUCUAAAUAAAUGUACGAAUGAUUCGAUUACCAAAAGGGUUAAUAACGAAUCAUAUAAAAAAGGAACAAGGCAUAAAGAUAAAGAUAAACAUAGUAAAAAAGUGAACGAGAUGGAAUAUGGUUUAGGUGAAUAUGAAAAUAAACUUGAAAGUGAAGAUAUAAUUCGAUUUAUAUGCGAACAAAAAAAAAACUUUUUUGUGAAU